rnacentral:rRNA from 1 species
UACGUAGGGGGCAAGCGUUGUCCGGAAUUAUUGGGCGUAAAGAGCGUGUAGGCGGCUUUACAGGUCCGUUGUGAAAACUCGAGGCUCAACCUCGAGACGCCGGUGGAAACCGUAAAGCUAGAGUCCGGAAGAGGAGAGUGGAAUUCCUGGUGUAGCGGUGAAAUGCGCAGAUAUCAGGAGGAACACCCGUGGCGAAAGCGGCUCUCUGGGACGGUACUGACGCUGAGACGCGAAAGCGUGGGGAGCAAACAGG